GUGGGGAAUAUUGGGCAAUGGGCGAAAGCCUGACCCAGCAACGCCGCGUGAAGGAAGAAGGUUUUCGGAUCGUAAACUUCUAUCCUUGGUGAAGAUAAUGACGGUAGCCAAGAAGGAAGCCCCGGCUAACUACGUGCCAGCAGCCGCGGUAAUACGUAGGGGGCAAGCGUUGUCCGGAAUGAUUGGGCGUAAAGGGCGCGUAGGCGGCCCGGUAAGUCUGAAGUGAAAGUCCUGCUUUUAAGGUGGGAAUUGCUUUGGAUACUGUCGGGCUUGAGUGCAGGAGAGGUAAGCGGAAUUCCCGGUGUAGUGGUGAAAUGCGUAGAGAUCGGGAGGAACACCAGUGGCGAAGGCGGCUUACUGGACUGUAACUGACGCUGAGGCGCGAAAGUGUGGGGAGCAAACAGGAUUAGAAACCCCUGUAGUCC
rnacentral:rRNA from 1 species